ensembl:lncRNA novel transcript
AGUCACGACGUGGGCAUCGGCCUGGGAUCAGCCAAGGCUCUUCAGCUCAUCCCAAUGGCCACUCUCUCCAGCAUCGGGGAGCCCCCAUAUCUCCCUGCACGGAUCCUCCAAGAAGGAGGGAAACAGCAAGACUGCUGGCUGCCCCGGCAGUGCUAGCUUCUAGCAGAGAUGAAGGAAUGUUGAGGUAGCUGACACUGCAACAUCUGGCUUCGCUUUCCAUUUUCAUCACUAUUUCUUACAUCAUGCGACAAUAUGAGAUUUCCUAAAGCCUCCAUUUUUCUCAUCUUUAUAACGAGGGAGGAGAAUCAAGAUGACUUUGUCAAGUCCUCCCAUCUCCAAUUUCAGGGAGUCUAAGAAUCCAUAUGCCUUUAUUAAAAUGGUGAAAACUUAGAAAGAUGGGGUCUUGGGAAGCACUGGAGAAUUUCUGACCAGCAUACAUUAGGUGCUCAACAAAAGUUAACAGAAACGGAAGAAAUCUGGAACCAACAAGAGACUUACCACAUCUACAGAGAGGCUGGGGGAGGGGUGCAGAUCAGGAGAUGGGAGAGUGAGGGAGAAACAGAAGCUGGGAGAGAUAGGAGACCAAAGGAAGGGGGAAGGGUGGCGGCAUGCGGGGAGGCUGCUAGUGCUGUAGGCGGCAGAGGGAUAUUAAUAGUACCUGGGGCCCUUCCAGUCUCUUAUCAGUCUUUUCAAGCUUCCUCUUCCUUAGACUGAUGUCACACCCUCCCUUCUCACACUUGGGAAAUCACAGAGGAAACAGUUGUCCUUCAUCUAGUGAAAGAUAGGGAAUGGGAAGCAAAGACAUUCACUUUCCCCUUUUCAAAUCCCUCCGAGAUCAUCCUACAAAUCCCUCAGCCUUCAUGAAGGAGACACCUCCUUCCUCAUGCAAGAAAUUUCCUAGAAUUCCCAGGGCUGAGUCAGCUCCACACAAGUGGAUACCCAACAUUGCUGUUUUUAUCCUGACCCCAGUCUAGCAGAAGCUCUCCAAGGGUCAUUUUUUUUUAAAGCUUUUGGACAUCAUGGGCCCCUUCGAGAAUCUAAGGAAGGUUAUAAGCCCCCCACAUAACACAACAAUCAAAAACUUGCUUAUACUUUUCAUACAGUUCACACCUAAAACCAUUAGCUGCAUGGAAUCCAGCUCAAGAAUCCUUGUAAUAUGGGCUUAUUGACCUACUAGCUGUGUGACUGGGGCAAGUUAUUUAAAGUUUCUGUGCUUCAGUUUCCUUGUCGAUGGUAGUACCCACUCCAUGAAGUUGUUAUGAGGAUUAAAUGAGGUGAUAUGGAUAAAGCCCCUUACAACUGUGUCUAGCCAAUGGUGCGUAUUCAAUAAACAUCAGCUGUUACUAUUACUACAUUUCUCUGUGGUAAUUCAUAGUGACAUUUGGGAAUGUUCCCACCCUUCUAUGUAAAAAACACAACCCAAGACAGCCAAAUAAAAGAGGAGGCUCAUGUUGAUCUAAUUCAGAGAGGAAAAAAAUGGCUGGUGGUAAUAGGACUAGAGAGGUCUCUCAGUGUCAAUUCCACAAGAUGGGAUUCCUUUUUCCUUAUCCCCAUGAAGUGGAAAAGGAGCAUGCUUGUAUAUAUUAUCUCAUGUAUCCCAUAUAAUAACCUGUAAGGGAAGCAUCAUUAUCCUCACUUUACAUAUUAAGAAACUGACAUUAAACUCCUAUCUCUCACCAGACACAAAAAUCAACUCAAGAUGGAUUAAAGACUUACAUAUAAGACCCAAAACUAUUAUUAAAUUAUUAGAAGAAAAUCUAGUAUUGCAGGAAAAAUCUACUAUCUAGUAUAAGGAAAAGUCUCCUGGACAUUGGACUAGGCAAAGAAUUUAUGACUAAGAUCUCAGAAGCACAGGCAACAAAAACAAAAAUAAACAACUGGGACUUAACUAAACUAAAAAGCUCUGCACAACAAAAGAAAUAAGCAACAGAAUGAACAACCCGCAGAACUGGAGAAAAUAUUUGUAAACUAUUCAUCUGACAGGGGAGAUAUCCAAAAUAUACAAAGAACUCGAGCAAGAAAAAAAAAAACCCCACAAAUAAUCCCACUAAAAUGUGGGCAAAUGACAUGAAUAGACAUUUUUCAAAAGAAGACAUUUUUCAAAAGACAUUUUUCAAAUGGCCAACAGAUAUAUGAAAAAAUGCUCAACAUCACUAAUCAUCAGAGGAAUGCAAAUAAAAACCAUGACGCGAUAUCAUCGUACCCCAGUCAGAAUGGCUAUUAUUAAAAAGAUAAAAAAAAAAACAGAUGUUGGCAAGAAUGUGGAGCACAGAGAACUCUUAGACAUUGCUGGUGGGAAUGUGAACUAGUACAACUUCUAUGGAAAACAGUAUGCAGAUUUUUCAAAAAACUAAAAGUAGAACUGCCAUUCGACCCAGCAAUCCCACUACUGGGUAUUUACUCAAAGGGGAAGAAAUCAGUACAUUAAAAAGACACCUGCACUAGUAUGUUUAUCACAGCCCUAUUCACAAUAGCAAAGACAUGGAAUCAACCUAAGUGUCCAUCAACGAAUAAAAGGAUAAAGAAAAUGUGGUAUAUAUACACAAUGGAAUACUAUUUGGCCAUAAAAAGGAAUGAAAUUAUGUCUUUUGCAGCAAUGUGGAUGGAACUGGAGAUCAUUAUUUUAAGUAAAACAAUCGAGGCACAGAAAAUCAAAUAUUGCAUGUUCUCACUCAUAAUGUGAGUGCUAAAAGAUGUGUACACAUGGAUGUGGAGAGUGAAAUGGUAAACAGUGAAAACUUGGAAGGAAGAGGGAAUGGGAGAGGAGUGGAUGAUGAGAAAUUAGUCAAUGGGUACAAUGCAUGUUAUGCUUGUGGUGGAUACCCUAAAAGCCCUGGCUUGACCAACAUGCAACCUAUUCAUGUAACAAAACUGCACAUGUACCACAUCAAUC